CACACGGGUGCUACCGCGGAAAAUGCGGUGGCUGAGAUGCCGAAGCGCUUCGGCGAACCGUUGAACCUGAUCCGGGUAAUGCCGGCGAUAGGAAGGAAGAU
rnacentral:ncRNA from 1 species